rnacentral:tRNA from 1 species
GGCCCUGUAGCUCAACUGGAUAGAGUACCUGACUACGGAUCAGGCGGUUAAAGGUUCAAAUCCUUUCAGGGUCACAA